GUGCUCACUUCGCCAGCACAUAUACUAAAAUUGGAACAAUACAGAGAAGGUUAGCAUGGCCCCUGCGCAAGGAUGACAUGCAAAUUCCUGAAGCGUUCCAUAUUUUU
ensembl:snRNA U6 U6 spliceosomal RNA